rnacentral:rRNA from 1 species
UACGUAGGCAGCGAGCGUUGUUCGGAGUUACUGGGCGUAAAGCGUGCGUAGGCGGUUGUCUAAGUUUGGUGUGAAAUCUUCUGGCUUAACUGGGAGGGUGCGCCGAAAACUGGGUGACUGGAGUGUCGGAGAGGUAAGCGGAAUUCCUGGUGUAGCGGUGAAAUGCGUAGAUAUCUGGAGGAACACCGGUGGCGAAGGCGACAUCCUGGACCGGUAUUGACGCGUGCGGCGACGAAAGGCUGAGGGAGCAAAGCGGGG